rnacentral:misc_RNA from 1 species
CCGAGUUUACAACUCCCAAACCCAAUGUGAACGUUACCAAACUGUUGCCUCGGCGGGGUCACGCCCCGGGUGCGUAAAAGCCCCGGAACCAGGCGCCCGCCGGAGGAACCGACCAAACUCUUUCUGUAGUCCCCUCGCGGACGUAUUUCUUACAGCUCUGAGCAAAAAUUCAAAAUGAAUCA